rnacentral:rRNA from 1 species
UACGUAGGGCGCGAGCGUUAAUCGGAAUCACUGGGCGUAAAGCGUGCGUAGGCGGUUCGUUGUGUCUGUGGUGAAAGCCCCGGGCUUAACCUGGGAAUGGCCAUGGAAACUGGCGAGCUGGAGUCUGGCAGAGGGGGGUGGAAUUCCGCGUGUAGCAGUGAAAUGCGUAGAGAUGCGUAGGAACACCGAUGGCGAAGGCAGCCCCCUGGGCUAAGACUGACGCUGAGGCACGAAAGCGUGGGGAGCAAACAGG